ensembl:lncRNA
AAGCAGUAGGUGUCCCCCGUCAACGGCCGGUUAAUCUGUUCAGCAUGAUCCCUGUCUAGUCAUAACAAUAGGGGGGUCGGGGCGGGGGUGCAUGUGUGGAAUAUCGGCCCCACGGUGGGAUUGUCUCACGUGCACAUUAGCUUCUCCAUCUCGUCCAGGCGCUUUCUCGUUGACGUAGGCCGGGCAGGGUGAACGCUGAGUCUGUCAACUUAAGUACCGUGCUCUAAAAGGUUUUUUAUUGGGGGGAAGAGGGGGAGCGGGAGGUGUUUGACAGGUCCCCGAAGUUCAAGCUCAGCCGUUUUAUGACCGCAGAAAGACAUCAGUUAUGGAACUUACGAUAUGAUGGGUGCAAAGGCAGGAAAUAAAAGAAAGAACUUAAUGAAAGUUUAAUCUUCUGGGGAAUUGGUGCCCCUCAGAGGCAUAAAUUGAGAGACCUAAAGCUAAAUUUCUCUGUCAAAGGCUGGCAUCUCGCUCAUGCACAUUUUACAGCUAUACUAGAAAUAUAUAUAUAUGUAUAUAUGUUUUAAAACAGCUAUUUCUAUUCUUGAGUACCCACAGUUGCUGAUGGAGGCUGGGAAGUGCUCGCAGUAGAUUUAUUAGGGAGGUUAUUGCUUCUCUGUACAGCAUGCGUUACAGAAGAGUUAUAUGAUCAUGAUUCCUUAUGCAGUUGUCUGGUCCUGAUUCUGGCUCUACAUGGCUGCUAUCUGAUUGGUUGAGAAGCUGGGGGGAAAAAAAAUCCUUGGGAACUGUCACAUUAGGCUUCCAUCUCUUGGAUCCCGGAUGCUGAAUCUGUCUCGUGGUUUUGUAUAAAAACUAUUAACACUGGUUCAUGGGUGAGCUGUGACCUGCAAUCCUUGUUACAUCCGAAGCAUAAUCUAGAAGUCAUGUGGCCAAGCCUGGGCUGACUUCCCCACGUCUCCAGCAACGAAAAGAGGGUUUGUGGUCAGAGGAGUAAGCAGAGAAGAUGACAGAGACACGGAGGAGGGACACAUCGGUAGGAAGAUGCCUUGGUCCCCGUCUCUUUUUCCGGCACCGGCGCCAGUGGAUGGGUGAGGUCCUGCUGGGGCAGUCUUUAUAUCGCGUCCCCCGUCAGGCCCAGCACAUCCGGGCCUUGAUCGGAGAUAACGCGGAACACUCGGCACGUCAUCGGAAGACCUCUUCCGGUUGAUUAGACCUCUUCCGGUUGAUUAGACCUCUUCCGGUUGAUUAGACCGCCUCAGGAACAGGCCGCAAGCGCACUGGCGCGACACACGUGCUGUGUGUCGGUUGCCGCAGGAGCGUUCUGUCUGCCUGGGAAAUAGAACGCGUUUGUGGGGAGGAUAUCAUUGUGCGAUAGAGGCCAGCACCAUCUGUGACGUACGCGAUGAAAACAGUAUAACGCCAACGCGGAAUUGUUGAAAGAGUGACAGCGGUAGUCGCUUUCAAGCAUAGGCAUUUUCCAGUGAGUCUGCACUUGCAUCGGGUGGCCGAAGUAGUGGAGCUUCAGCUUCAGCAUCAGUCCUUCCAGUGCUGUUGUGCUGAGUAUUUCCUUGUUGGCGACUUGAUGGGGGCUGCUGUGCAUUGUGGGAUAUUCCGAAGCAUCUCUGGCAUCCAUGCAGUAGAGGCCAGUAGCCGCCACAUCUCCAGGCCUAACGGUCAAACUCACUUCAUCUGGGGAAAUCUGGUCACACUCCCGCUUACCAGGCCUCAGUGGCCAUCCUGAGAGCCCCCGGGUCAGGAGAGCUGCUCUUCUGCCUCGACUGUAGUUUUCUUUGGUGCUGUCUUCUCUGGGCAGGUGAAUUUCACUUGAAAUGUUGAAAAGUUAGUUGUUUUUGAAUUUAAAUGUAUACUCAAAUAGAAAUGCUGCUAUAAAUUCUCUUUAGAUUCUCAGGCCACCCAAAGCCACAAAAGAAAAGAGCAGAAGAAGGAAACGCUGUGAAACAUGGGCGUGAUCAUACGCACACGUGUCUGUCGGUGUCACACGCAAAGACACACAUGUAGGCAUCACAGUUAUGUAUCCUUACUUUCGUUAGAUCCUGUACAGAAUUUUGAAAGCUGCAAGUCUGGAAAAUUAUGUUUUAAAUCGUUUAUUUGUGCAGUUUUUAAAGUUGAUAGCAUUCUUUUUUAUUUAAAAAAAUUUUUAUUGAGAAAUAAUUGACAAAUAUCACUGUAUGUAUUUAAAGUGUACAGGGUGAUACUCUGAUGCACAUUGUGGAAAGAUUACAAAGAUCAAAAUAAUUAAUAUGUCCAUCACCUUACAUAGUUCUUUUUUUUUUUUUUGCAUUUUUUGUUGGUAUUCUUUUAUUUGUAGAAGUUUAAAUUCAUCAUUGAGGAAAUAUACGCCUUGGUGUUCAGAAAAGAUGCUAUAAAGACAUUUUUGAAUAAGUCCUGGUAAAGCCAUAGUUAUGCUCAGAGGGAGAGACUGGAAGCAAUUUGAAGUUAAACUUUCUCUGAUACUAUAAACUUCAUCUUUCUUGGAGGAGAACUUAAAACUCUGCGGGCAGGUCAUUUUAGGAACUUCUGUGUCUUUCCCGGAGAAGAGGCAAGGUGGAGGGUGCCUCCUUUUGAGGUGAACCUUUUGACAGGGCUCUGGUUCAGAAGAGCAGCUGUCAAAGUGGGGGCCUCAGAGCAACAUCUUUACAUCAUCUGGAAACUUGUUAGAAUCUCAGGAUCUUGGGCCUCCGUCCAGCAUUUUCAGAUGUCCAAGGAUGAGCACGCACAGUGGAGUUUCAGAAGACCUGCACAGAGGAUCUUCUGUGUGCUAGAGACUGGCCUAUGGAGUCCAGCAACUGUCUUAGCUAGGAUCAUGUUAAGAUUUUUUUUUCUUUUGAUUUUACUUUGUUUAUAUGUUUUCUGUGUUCUGAUACUUCUUAUGCCUUCAGCUCAGUGGGGAGUUAAGGGCUGGACAAGUGGGUUGGUGGGGGGUUGUCCAUGAUUGAAAAAAGAGGUGCUUUUAGUGAACAUUGUUGGUUCUGUUGUAACAUCCAUUUUCACCUUCUAACAGUUCCCAGACUCGUCUUUGUUUACUUCUCCUCAACAUAGUUAAUGCAUUCUGGAUGAAACAGCCUAUCCCAGCUUUAGGGACGCGGUCUCAUUGGCUCAGCCUAUCAGGAUAUAUUAUUACUUCACCAUAUCUAUUGGUUUAAAGUUGGGUAUUAUCUUAGUCAGUCUGGGCUUCUAUAACAAAAUACCAUAGACUGGGUGGCUUAAAAAACAACAUAAAUUAAUUUAUCACAGUGCCAGAGGGCAGCAAGUCCGAGAUCAAGACAGCAGCAUGUUUGAUAUCUGGUGAGAGCACACUUUCUGGCUCACUGAUAGUCUUCUUGCUGUGUCUUCACAUGGCAGAAGUUGAGGGGAGCUCUCCAGGGUGUCUUCUGUAAGGGCACUAAUCCCAUUCAUGAGGGCCCCACCCUCAUGACCGCAUCACCCUCAAAGGCACCACCUCCAAAUACUGUUACAGUGGGGAUUAGGUUUCCACAUAUGAGUUCUGUGGGGACACGUGCAUUCAUUCUGUAGCAGGCAUGUGACUUAAGGCAAGCCAUCAGGUCAAAUCUUUGCACUGUUCUUUGGAAUGCUGGGUCACACACUCUUUUUCCUUUUUAAAAAGAAUGAGGAGACAUGUGGUAUUGUUACUGGCUGACUUGCAUGACCGCAGUGUCAAGGGGAGUGGGCAGGGAGGAGAGUCAGACUUAGGAGGAAUCUGACGCCCUGAGGUCAGAGGAAGACAGAAGAAAUAUGAACUUGAUUCUGGUUCAUCAGUCCUGAAACCCUCCUCGACAUGGACUUCCUGGUACGGAAGCCAAUAAAUCCCCUUUGCUGUGUUUGAGGUGAAUUUCCUGUGACUUGCAGCACGAGGAGUCUUAAGAGAUACAGUUUUAUUGCAGGAGUGGCAUUACCAUGAUCAGGGCCAUGCUUGAAAUUCUAAGAGGCAACCGAAAAAGUGCACACCAGCCGCCUGACUCCAGGGAGCCGGACGACAGAUUUGUGGGCUGCAUAAGCAUUUCUCAGAGAGAUUAUCAAGAACUUUUGGGGAGGGCCACUCAGUAAAA